rnacentral:rRNA from 1 species
AACGACUCUCGGCAACGGAUAUCUCGGCUCUCGCAUCGAUGAAGAACGUAGCGAAAUGCGAUACUUGGUGUGAAUUGCAGAAUCCCGCGAACCAUCGAGUCUUUGAACGCAAGUUGCGCCCGAGGCCACCCGGCCGAGGGCACGUCUGCCUGGGCGUCACGC